CCCUGCCAUUUGUACACACCGCCCGUCGCUACUACCGAUUGAAUGAUUUAGUGAGGACUUCGGACUGGUCAAUCCAGACUAGAGGGUAAAACCUAGAGUCGGAUUGUGCUGGAAAGAUGUUCAAACUUGAUCAU
rnacentral:rRNA from 1 species